rnacentral:rRNA from 1 species
UGGGGAAUAUUGGACAAUGGGGGCAACCCUGAUCCAGCCAUGCCGCGUGAGUGAUGAAGGCCCUAGGGUUGUAAAGCUCUUUUGUGCGGGAAGAUAAUGACGGUACCGCAAGAAUAAGCCCCGGCUAACUUCGUGCCAGCAGCCGCGGUAAUACGAAGGGGGCUAGCGUUGCUCGGAAUCACUGGGCGUAAAGGGUGCGUAGGCGGGUUUCUAAGUCAGAGGUGAAAGCCUGGAGCUCAACUCCAGAACUGCCUUUGAUACUGGAAGUCUUGAGUAUGGCAGAGGUGAGUGGAACUGCGAGUGUAGAGGUGAAAUUCGUAGAUAUUCGCAAGAACACCAGUGGCGAAGGCGGCUCACUGGGCCAUUACUGACGCUGAGGCACGAAAGCGUGGGGAGCAAAACAGGAUUAGAUACCCUGGUAGUCCACGCCGUAAACGAUGAAUGCCAGCCGUUAGUGGGUUUUACUCACUAGUGGCGCAGCUAACGCUUUAAGCAUUCCGCCUGGGGAGUACGGUCGCAAGAUUAAAAACUUAAAUGAAUUGAC